GGGCCCGCACAAGCGGUGGAGCAUGUGGUUUAAUUCGACGCAACGCGAAGAACCUUACCUACACUUGACAUCCUCGGAACUUUCUAGAGAUAGAUUGGUGCCUUCGGGAACCGAGUGACAGGUGCUGCAUGGCUGUCGUCAGCUCGUGUCGUGAGAUGUUGGGUUAGUCCCGUAACGAGCGCAACCCUUAUCCUUAAUUGCCAGCGGUUAGGCCGGGAACUCUAAGGAGACUGCCGAUGACAAAUCGGAGGAAGGUGGGGACGACGUCAAGUCAUCAUGGCCCUUACGUGUAGGGCUACACACGUGCUACAAUGGCCGGUACAAACGGUUGCGAACCCGCGAGGGGGAGCGAU
rnacentral:rRNA from 1 species